rnacentral:tRNA from 1 species
GGGUAUAUAGCUCAGUAGUAGAGCGCAUGCUUAGCAUGCAUGAGGACCCAGUUUCAAUCCCCAGUACUUCCA